AGCCACGCGAGAUGAACGUCCCCCUNUUGCGGGGGGCGUGGCGUACGGCUCAGUAACACGUAGUCACCUGCCCUGGAGACAUGGACACCCCGGGAAACUGGGAUUAAUCCGUGAUAGGUCAUCUCAUCUGGAAGGAGAGAUGGCUUAAAGGGGUACGCGGGCUUCUUCUGCGUAUUCGCUCCAGGAUGGGACUGCGUCCGAUCAGGCUGUUGGCGGGGUAAUGGCCCACCAAACCUGUAACCGGUACGGGCCUUGAGAGAGGUGGCCCGGAGAUGGACACUGAGAGAAGGGUCCAGGUCCUACGGGGCGCAGCAGGCGCGAAACCUUCGCAAUGCGCGAAAGCGUGACGAGGUUAAUCCGAGUGACUUCCGCUGAGGAGGUCUUUUGUCAGCUGUAAAUAGGCAGGCGAAUAAGGGGAGGGCAAGCCUGGUGUCAGCCGCCGCGGUAA
rnacentral:rRNA from 1 species